GAUGAACGCUGACGGAAUGCUUAACACAUGCAAGUCUUUGGCGAAGCUGUGCUUGCACAGCCUAGCCAAGGCGGACGGGUGAGUAACGCGUAAGGAACUUGCCCUGCAGUCAGGGAUAACAGACGGAAACGACUGAUAAGACCUGGUAAAGUCAGGCGGACUCAUGUCCAGCCUGAUGAAAAGUGAUGCUGCAGGAGAGCCUUGCGUCCUAUUAGCUUGUUGGUGGGGUAAUGGCCCACCAAGGCGAUGAUAGGUAGCCGGCCUGAGAGGAUGGACGGCCACAAGGGGACUGAGAUGCGGCCCUUACUCCUACGGGAGGAAGCAGUGGGGAAUAUUGGAAGAUGGGGGCAGCCCUGAUCAAGCAAUUCUGUGUGGACAAUGAAGGUUUUCGGAGUGUAAAGUGCUUUCAGCAGGGAAGAAAAAAAUGACGGUACCUGCAGAAGAAGCGACGGCUAAAUACGUG
rnacentral:rRNA from 1 species